ensembl:snRNA U6 U6 spliceosomal RNA
GAGUUGAGAUUGCAGCACAAAUACUAAAAUUGCAGCAGUGCACAGAAGAUUCGCAUGGCACCUAUGCAAGGAUGACACAUAAAUUUGUGAAGCAUUCCACAUAUUU